rnacentral:lncRNA from 1 species
UUUUUUUUAACUCAACAUCAACUUAUCAUUAGCCAAAUGUUUUGAUACAAACAAUUGUGACCACAAUGCCUCAAGAGGCUUUAACCACAAUGUGAUAUAUGGAAGUAGAUGUAGCAUCAUCUAAGAUCACUUAUUUGGAUCCUACAUUGCCUCAUCUAACUACCUAUCACUUUGACCACCAUGGAAACAAAUUCACUUUACCAAAAUGGUGAAAAUGAACUGUCCCUUAAACCACUAAUUACACGAGCAUUGACUAAAACUGAAAACUAGACUUAACAGAUGAAUUCCAAACUAAGACCUUGCUGGAGAUCACCACUUAAUUGACAUUCAGAACUUGGAUCAUACCAACUCAACGCCAAGGCGCAUACUUCACCCUCAAGUCCCGUCCAGAUAUCAGUCGUACUCCAGCCUUAUUAUAUGGAUUCCAAGCCAAAAGAACCACAUAAUGAGAAGAUACCUUAGUUGCAGAUUUCUUUUCAAACACAGAAACGGGUUCCCCACCAAACUGGUGCGUAAACUGCCACACAAGACCUUCCAUCACGAGUUCCUAGUCUUGACUCCAAAACCGAGCCGCCGGAACAGAGCGAAACAACAUCUCCAAGAGCAUGAGUUUCAGUUCUUCCGGAAUGAAGAAAAGACGGGUUCAGAUGUCGAAUCCAACCGGAGCUCAUCCACUAACGCCUGCGAAAGAACACUGAAGCUCGGAGGAGAGCGACGACGGCACAUAUUAGACAUCUACGGAGGUACACGGAGCGACAAGGGGAAAAUAGCUCCAUCCAAAAUCCAACCCUAAAAGCCGACCUCCGAUAACGACACCUUCCUGACUCAACUCGCUGUGACUCCAGAAACUCGGAAACCGCACUACACGGCCAGAUCUGAGAUCUGAAGAGCCGAAGAAGCCAGAGUUCACACGCAUCUCGCUGAGGGGAAGGGACGUUAACGAAGGCAAAAGGAAAAGGAGAAAAAAGAAGGUAAAGGGUGACUCUCCGGCGACGACACAGCGACAACGCCGCCGGAGAAACGCGGCGGGUUAGGGUUUCUACUGACUCUCUCUCUCUUUAUCGUAUUUAAUUUGUUGAUGUAUUUAUGAUAUGCAUUCUUGUGUUGACCAAGUUGGGCAUAAAAACACAAACAUUUAUUGGUCCACUUGUUAAUAUUAAUCUCUUCAAAGAGCAUCAUUAUUGAACAUUACAUUGGCAUGUUCUCGAACACACAUAUUUUUUUUUUUUUUUAUGUUUUGAGAUCUUUCAUCCAAAACUCCAAAUAUGUUUUCUCCGUUUUAUAAUACAAAACUGGUACCUGACUUAAUUAUUUGUUUUACUAAUAAUGACAUUUUAUAAAUUAAUACAGCUUUUAUGCAGUUUUAAUUUUAACCCUAUACGUAAUGUAAUAAUAAAUUACAUAUAUAAUAAUUUUAGUUUGUAAAAAGUGUGAAGAAAAUAUAAAAUUACAUUUAACAAAAGGAAUGAAGUUUGUUCACAAGUUUUUUUUCCAACAAAUCUAAGCAUAAAUUUAAUAUUUUUAAAACAUGUUAACUAAGCAUAAAAUAUAUGAAAACUGUAUUGAUUGUUUAUAGGGGCUCUUGUUUAUAUAUACCCUCAUAUUUAUGUUCUAUACUAUUAUUUGCGAAGUAAAUUUUUGGAAUCAAGCUCUCACAUUAAAAGUUAGAGCGGUUAAUAUCUAUAAUACUCUUAAUAAAUUUUAUAUAUAAUUAAUUAUAUAAUCAAAAACGAAUUUUAUUAAUAAUAUUAACUUUUUUUAAAAUAAGAUAAUUCGUAUAUAUUGUGUUGUUAUCUUAAACAUAUUUUUUAAUUAUAAAAUAUAAAACAAUUAUAAUAAAUUCAGUGGUUAAAGUCAAUGUUAUCUUUAAUAGAUUUUAAUUAACUAUACUAUUGUUUGCGAAGUAAAUUUUUGGAAUCAAACUCUCACAUUAAAAGUUAGAGCGGUUAAUAUCUAUAAUACCCUUAAUGAAUUUUAUAUAUAAUUAAUUAUAUAAUCAAAAACUAAUUUUUAUUAAUAAUAUUAACUUUUUUAAAAACAAGAUAAUUCAUAUAUAUUGUGUUGUUAUCUUAAAACAUAUUUUCAAUUAUAAAAUAUAAAACAAUUAUAAUAAAUUCAGUGGUUAAAGUCAAUGUUAUCUUUAAUAAAUUUUAAUUAAACAUAUAUAUUUAAUUAGAUUUUUGUCAUAUAUAUAUGUUUGAUUUAUUUUUUUUUAAAACAUAAAUAAUAAUUUAUUAUGCUGGUUUUUGAAUUAAUAAAAAAUAAACUAAUAAAUAUUUGUAAAACGAUUAACUCCGCAUAUGCGGGCAAGACACCUAGUUGCCUUUUAAUAUGCUAAGCAUUCAUUAAUAUAAAGUGUGUGAACAAUAUUUUAGAUAUAUUUAGCCAACAAACAAUAUCACAGAUAUUGUUGUCUAUUUUAUAUUUUCCCGUUUUAUUUUGUCAACAUCAUCUGUGAGUUGUAAUAAAGCUUUUUAACCCGACUUAAAAGUAUAAAUAUAAUUUUCCCCGUAAUUGGGCAAGAGUAUUUUCAGUUGUUACAUAAACUAGAGGGUUUGCCCGGGCUACGCCCGGGUUAUUUGUUUAUAAUUUUUUGAUUAUUUAUAAAUAAUUUAAAAUCAAUAAAUCGGAAAGUGCCAACAACAUUAAAGCAAAUGAAAAUAGAUAUUUUAUAUUGUUGUCUUGUUGAAUUUAAUGUUUGAUCUUCUAUAUUCUUUUUGCAUUUUCAUAUUAAUUAUAUAUUGUUUAAUUUGAUGCAUAUGUUUUUUUUUCUGAAACUACCAAUAAACAUCAUCGUUGGGUUUAACUAAAAUAUGAUUCGUAGCAAGUUGAGUUCGUUAACUUUUCUAUAUUUUUUUAUAAAUUUACACACGAUAGACUAAAUGAUAAGCUAAUGAGAAAGAUCGUAUUGAAACCUAAACCAGCUUGGGAUAUGCGUGUGCGUGUGUGAUGACGACAUGGAGAUUAUAAUGGAUAUGGGCUAUGGAGAUAAUUAAAUCCAGCGAGUUUUCUUAUGAGGCCAAAUCGUUUGGAUUUAUUAAUUGAAUUGAAAAUAUGAAAACAAUUUAUUUGAAAGAAACGGGAAAGCUUUUAAGGAAAGAUAAUUCAAUUGACCAAAGACAAAGUCUGAAAUGAAAUGAAACAAAGCAAUGUCUUGCUGAAAACCAAAAUAGUACUUAAACUGAAGCAAACUUUCAGAAACCAAUGCAAUACUUGAAGUUCAAAGCAAAGACUUAAACAUCACUGAACUGAAGCUUCAAUUCUCACAUCUUGGCCGUUUGACUUUCUCUGGAUCAACACUUUCAAACGUCCUCUUACUCUCCUCAUCUGCAGAAUCUCCAUGGCUUUUUGAAGAACCACAUACGUCACUUCCAGUCUGCACUGCUUCCUCGGACGUUGCAGCAAUGGCGUUUCCAAGAGAGGAUUCUGUGGGUGAUGGUGUGUCUAGAGGGAGGAUCUUGGUGACAGUUAUAGCUCGGGUGCUGCCAGAGAAGUUGUGGUCUGUGACUUUCACACAAAAUUUAUGGGUCUGCCCGAUUGUGCUGAUCAGAGAUUCCGGGACAGGCACCUCAUGGUCAGGGCCUUUGUCUUUAUUAGCCUUGUAUUCAAAUACAGUAGUGUGAGUUUAAAUAAGUUGAGAGUAUAAACUGAUAGAAAUUUACCUCAAAGUAUCUGCUAACCAACUCAGAUGCGUGCCUCCCAGUCAACUGAAGACCAGCAUCACCAAGCAGGACAAAAAAAGCUUGUUCACUGCUGUCAUAAACAGAAAUCUUUGCACGGUACCUGUUAUGUAAGAAUCAGAAGUUAAUAAUCCAAAACUUAUAUAAGGAAAAAUGUAAUUGAAUAUUGAGGCCAGUGAACAUACUGUGCAACACCAGCUGUGCUGUCCUUCACACAUUUUGGGUUGGUGCAAAUCAAUGAGUUUGCGCCUUUGGUAGCCUUACUAUGGCACUCAGCGCAUGCAAUAUAGUACCAAGGAGAUCCAUGAACAACAUCAUCAAUUGUAGCAGUGCACUCAAAAAAGGCAUCCUGCAACAGUUCAAAAGCAUUUGAUAUAAAUAGAUAAGCGCUUAAAAAUUGGCAAGUAAUAGUUAGAUUUGUAUUUACCUUUGCAGAUUCCUGAGUCAUGUAAGAGAAUAUUUCUCCUAUGGUCAUCGUCUCCCGCUUAGUGACCACCUCUGCAGUAACCUGCUUAGCAAUCUCUGGGUUUGAGGCGAGCCUAACAAUAAAUAGAAAGCAUUGCUUCAGUCAAUCACUUCAAUUUGUGUAACUAUGUGCUCAACACGAACGUUUGUAGCUGGGGGUACAUACCAGGUGAAGUAAUCAAUGGUUGGUUGGACAUCAUAGUCCAUGAAAACCCGUGUGGGAGACAUAGAGCUCAGUGCCAGAGUACCUGUUCGAUAAAGUAAGAAGCAUUAAAAAUGAUAGUGUCUAGAAAUAGCAGCCAAUUUAAAAGAAAAAAGCGUUUUUAGAAUGUUUAAUAAGCUAAAACGUUACACAAUGAUCAGUGAAAACGUGAAUCCAAAGGGAUAAUUGAUUACCUCCGAGACGUUUAGUGUUAACAGCUGUGACCAAAAGCACUGUGGGAGUGUUUUCAUAGGACUUAAACUUCUUGCAGAAUUCUGUUGCAGCCUGGUCCCAUAGGUAGAGCUUCAUGACAGGUCCUCUGCAAAAAAAAAAAAAAAACUCUUAGGGACUUAGGAACUAAAGAGAGAUGGUGUAUUAAAAAUAGAAGAACACACUUACUCAUGUGAUUGCACAUGAACCAUAACGUGCCGAGUGGUAGCGAUCUUCGCUUCAUCAACAGUGGGACGCUCGGUAAGAGUCUGUCCAUCCACCAGCUUCAUGUGACCAACAACAUCUAUAACAUUUAUCAUAAAGAAAGUAAUUCAGAUGUCUAAUAUAAAACUAAAGAGAGAAAUACUUGAACUAAUUAUUUAACCCAACAAAGUUCUAUAAUUCUUUAACAAACAUGAAGGCAAACCAAAACUACAUAAAAUAUAAAGUAAUGUAUGCUUACCAUAGAGGUCACCUUUGAGAUCACAGUUAGCCUCAAAAUCCUCAUACGAAUGAAACCUGAAACGGUCUUCAUCAAAAGAGAUUGGAAUGUCGAGAAGAACCGACAACUCAGAGUUCCAUGUGAAGGACACGGUUGCGAUAUGGUCAGCAACCCGAUACAUCGGUUUGUUCUUCGAUCCGUAGAAGUUGAUGAGUUUGUAAACUGAUCCUUGCUUCAUAUCAGGCAAGUAUUUCUUGAUACGUCCUGGUGGGAUGAAUCCUUGAAUGACACUUCCCUAUUGUCGGAAAAUAAUAAAAAACACGAAAUGAGAAUCAAAUCUCGGAAUUUAAACAUAUACGAUACCAAACAAAUAUGUUUUAGAAAACGUCAAAACCACGGUUCAAAGUUUUAUUAACUAAUCUAACCUAACUAAUUAACCCUUACACAGAUAUCACGGUCUAGAAACAAUUUUUAUUGUCGGAAAAGAAUAACAAAACACGAAAUGGGAACCAAACCUCAGAAUCUAAACAGAUACGAUAUCAGACCCUACAAAAUAACUUAACACCCGUAUAAAAAAAUGUGAAAAUCAAUUUUUUAAGUUUUAUUUACAAAACUAAUUAAUCACGGUUCAAAUUUUAAUUAACUAAUCUAACAUAACUAAUUAACCCUAACCAAAUCUGACGGUCUUGAAAAAUCUUGAGAGAAUUGACGUACCUGCUCAUCGAUGAGAAGCAUUUCCAGGCCAAUAAGGGUCUUCUUCACCGGGUUCCGAGCCUCCCAGAAAUGAAUGAGUCGGAAGCGCAAUUGGGUUUCAUGGGGACCUAGAGAGACAUCUUUGAAGAACAUCACUUUUUCGUCAGAGGCGGAAGAGGCAGGAGACUUCCCAUUUCGUUUCAUCGCCAUGGCUUGAGAUCUGAGUAUUUCUAGGGUUUUGUUUAGUACGAAGAAGAAAGAUCAACAUAUAAAGGAGGAGGAAAAGAGGGAGGUGAAACGAAAUCAUAAUGGAGGUAUUGAUUGAUCAAAACAAAAGUAUUGAUUGCGGAGGUUGAAUCGAUUGAUUUUACGAUUCGUUGAUCUUCGAUCGGAGAAAACGAAGUGGAAAGGGUGAGGAGAAUCGUCAUUUUGCGAAGUCGAAUCUGAUUUUUGUCCCAAAGACAAAACACCCCGAAGCCCAAAUCGCAAUCAUAUAGCCCAAAGCGUAAUCACGAAACCCACAGAAUAUUAGUAAACUUUAGCCGAAAGAAAACGUGAGUCUGACGUGGCAAAAUAAAUGUACCUGAUUGGCCUGAAUAAAAAAGCAUACGUGGCACUCUCGUUGCUCUGAUUAUUCUGCUUUUAGUAGUAUAAGAUGAAAUAAUGGGAAAUAAUUCUAGUGAGAGCAAUUUCCAUCCAAUCAAGAGGCAGGUUGACCCCAGCAGCACCUCCUCCUGAAGCAAUCAUCUCUUCGCCAGCCCGAUAAUAAAUAUAAUUUUCUUAAUUUAGAAUAUCGGUACCAUCUUUGAGUAUAGAACGAUAAACAGAACCGAAAACUCGGUUUAGUACCCGGUAAUCUUCUACAGUUAAUCCAAGCUAAGAGUUCUUGAAAAUUUGAAAGUAUAAUUCGAUCUUCUUCUCCAUUUUACAGUAACUCAAAGAUUCCAGAGCCUUAAUAUUUACUAUGAUAAGCUUGGACCAUUUAUUUAUUUGUUUUAAAAAUCUGAUAUUCUGUCCAAAACUUAAAAUGUUUCAUGAAUGCAAACGAAAUUUAUUCAAAUUGUUUUCAAUCACACAUAAAUAUACAAUCUAUCGUAUAUUUUAGAAUUGAAAAAAAUUGACAUGUGUUGUUAGCUGGUUUUCUUAAAAUCCAAAAAAAUAUGUCACUGUUAUUUUGAAACUUUUGGAAUCAAUAAAUAUUUAUUCAUUUAUAUUUUUUUAAAUCAAUUUUAUAGCUAAAAUUCGCCUCAACGUUAUUUUAGUAAAAAAUGAUAAAAUUGGAGUUCCCACAUUUUACAUUUUAUCAGAACCGGGUGGAUUACUUCCCGGUUCUCAUGUGAUAUCUAUACUAUUAAAGCAGAAUCCCUACUAGGAUUCUGCUAUUAGUUUUUGAGUUAUUUACGUAUAAAUAAAUAAAUAACCUAAAAUCUAGCUUAAAGAAAGAUUUAAUCAAUAUAUUUAAAUGUCACCAACCGUAAAUAAAUCAAUGAUUAUAUCUUUGGCCAUUAAUGACCUGAUUCUACCGAAUCUAUAGUUGUUACUAUAAACAAGGAUUUCAUAACAAUACAUAGGUAAGAAUAUUUUUGAUGUUCAUUAUUAUUGAAUGAAUAUGUUUGGGCACUAACAUCUAAAAUAAUUAUAUCCUCAUAUUCUUAUUUAAAAAUGAUUAUAGCACAAAAUUUUAAAUUAUUUAAAAAAUGAUUAAAACACGUUUAUAUUAUAUAAUAUGUCAGCAAACCCGGUAUAUAUAGAUGCAUAUAUUUGGUAUUGAUUUUUGUUAAAAACGGUUUCUAUAUAAACCCAAAUAAACAUUUAAAUAUUCUAGGAGAAAAACUAAACAUAUAAUCUUAUAUUAUUAUUAAAUAAAUAAAACACAUAAUCUUAUAUAUCUUAAUCAGGAUCCGUUUGGUUUUGAUUUGAGUCUAUUCGGAUUUCAGAUUUUUAGGCUUAUAGAUUUAAAUCCUAUUCUAAACAUUACGGGUUUGGUUUGGGUAUCCAUUUAAAUUAUGUAAACAAUUGAAAAAUUAAAAUGUACCUUAAAUUCUAAAAACCCGAAACUUAAAUAAUAUAAAACAUAUAAAUUUAAAUAAUGUAAAAGUAAAUAUAUAAAAUUAAAAUAAAACUGGAUUUAUUUGGAAAUUAUGAUGGAAAACAAGUUUUUAGAUAUUUCCGGUGUUUUGAGCAUUUUAUGGUUCCCGAAAUAUUUUGUUCGAGUCGGGUUUGAAUCUGGUUCUUCCUAUAUUAAAUUGUAUACCCAAUCAUGUAUUAAUCAAUUUUGGUUUAAGUUCGGUACUACUCUUCGGAUCGGGUUUGAUUCAGUUCUUUGGGUCCUGAUAUGUUGCCCAGCUCUAUCAUUUAUGACAAAAAAAAUUAUAAAAAUAAAAUUUGACCAAAGCAAGACAUAGACGAUGUAUUACUCCGUUUCAGUUUUUAACUUUUAAAAUAAUCUAAAACAAAUGAGAGACAUGCCAACGCUUAUUUAAAUAAAACUUAAAAUAUAUAACUUUAGAUAGAAAUUAUAGUUUAUAAUAAACUAAGUUUUGUAAACAAAAUAAUCCCGCGCUUUCAAAGCGCGGAUCAAAAUCUAGUAAUUAGUUAAAUUCAAACUAAUUUUGUGAUCUGAGUAAAAAUUGAUCCAAAACCGGUACACAACUUAACCAGCGAAAACGGGUUUUCGUAACCGUUUCUCUUAGCUUUUCCUCGAGAUUCUUUCUGCUAAGCGGAAACCCGACGACAGAGAAGCAACAACACCAGAGGAGGAGAGAAGCGAAGUCCACAACGAAGACGAGAAAGCGAGAGAGAUUCUAACCUCUCUCUCUCG